AAGUCGUAACAAGGUUUCCGUAGGUGAACCUGCGGAAGGAUCAUUACCGAAUACCAGGCUGAAAGAUGUCUGUGUUCCACACCAUGUUUUAAGCCGACGACGCGAGUCCGACGCGAACACAUUUUUAUUCUCCGAAUAAAUCAAAACUUUCAACAACGGAUCUCUUGGUUCUG
rnacentral:misc_RNA from 1 species